CUUCCCACCGUCACCGUUGACCGCUCACCACCACCUGGAAAAUAGAAAGAAAAAGGACAAAAAUAGUAGCAAGUGUGGUAAAUGUCAGAAACGAUAAAAAUAUGUAUAAUCGGCUAUAAAAGCUAGAUUUGAAAUGUAUUUUCACACACACGAAAGCAAUAAAAAAACAGAAAAGAAAAAAAGUUCGAAAGUGAUUCUCUUAUUUAUUUUUUCUUUUUUUUUAAAAUCUAUUAUUUUUUAUAAAAAGGAAAAAAGGUGAAAAAGGAAAAACUCACUUGUCAAUUCAUCUUCUGCCAUUGUUGGAAACUAUCUCCAAUGCCCGAAUAUCUCGAAACCCAUUAAGGUUUUGACGAGGGUUUGACGAACGCGGCCACCGGAGGCGGCAGUCACCGUCGUAGAUGAACGGUGGCCACGGCGAGGCAACAGCGGCCUCCAUGGCCGACCCAAGGAAGCCUACAGAGAAAAAAAGG